AUGGCAGCUCUCAGCUCCACGGCCGCAGCCAUUGCCAUCCUUGCGCUCGCGACCAUGGCCGGAGUAGCUCUAGGAGCGACGGCGGGGACAAAGAAGGCGCCGGUGAUCUACAUUUUCGGCGACUCGAUGUCGGACGUCGGCAACAACAACUACCUCCUCCUCUCCAUCGCCAAGUGCAACUACCCCUGGUACGGGAUUGACUACGAAGGUGGCUACCCCACCGGGAGGUUCACCAAUGGCAGGACCAUCGGAGACAUCAUGGCUGCCAAGUUUGGCGUCCCACCGCCGCCGCCGUUCCUCUCCCUGUAUAUGACCGACGAUGAGGUCGAGUACCUGUCGUUCGACAACCAGAUAUCGUACUUUGAGCAGAUCAAGAACGCCAUGAUCGGCAAGAUCGGCAAGAAGGCCGCCGAGGAGGUGGUCAAUGGCGCAAUCUUCCAGAUCGGACUUGGGAGCAACGACUACGUCAACAACUUCUUGCGGCCGUUCAUGGCGGACGGCUUCGUGUACACCCACGACCAGUUCAUCGGCCUCCUCAUGGAGACCAUCAGCCAGCAGCUCACGAGGUUGUACCAUCUCGGGGCGCGUAAUGUGUGGUUCACGGGGCUCGCGCCGCUCGGCUGCAUCCCGUCGCAGCGCGUCCUCUCGGACAACGGCGAGUGCCUGGAAGACGUGAACUUGUACGCCCUUCAGUUCAACGCCGCGGCCAAGGACCUGCUGGACCGCCUCAACGCCAAGCUCCCCGGCGCGCGCAUGUCCCUCGCCGACUGCUACUCCGUCGUCAUGGAGCUCAUCGAGCACCCAAAGAAAUACGGUUUCACGACGUCCCACACGUCGUGCUGCGACGUGGACACGUCGGUGGGGGGCCUGUGCCUGCCGACGGCGGACGUCUGCGACGACCGCAGCCAGUUCGUGUUCUGGGACGCGUACCACACCUCCGACGCGGCCAACCAGGUCAUUGCCGGCCGCCUCUACGCCGACAUGGUGAGCGCCGGCGACGUGCAGGAGGGCAACACCACCGUCUCCGACGCGCCUCGCGUCGUCCGGUCACCACGCCCCGUGCCUCCUUCCCGGCCCGCAGUGCGUGGUGGCGGCAACACCACCUCCGCCCCCCGCGCCGCGCCGGCCGCGCGGCCUGUGCAUGGCAACGGCACCACCUCCGCGCCCCGCGCCUCGCCCGCAGCGAGGCCUGUGAAUGGCAACGGCACCACCUCUGCGCCUCCCGUCGUCGGAUCAUCCUCCCACGCCGCGCCGCCUCCCCAGCCUUGA
rnacentral:rRNA from 1 species